AUUGAACGCUGGCGGCAUGCCUAACACAUGCAAGUCGAACGGCAGCACGGUCUAGUUUACUAGAUGGGUGGCGAGUGGCGCACGGGUGAGUAAUGCGUAGGAAUAUGCCUUGAAGUGGGGGAUAACUUGGGGAAACUCAAGCUAAUACCGCAUAAGCUCUAAGGAGGAAAGCUGGGGACCUUCGGGCCUGGCGCUUUAAGAUUAGCCUACGUCCGAUUAGCUAGUUGGUAGGGUAAAGGCCUACCAAGGCGACGAUCGGUAGCUGGUCUGAGAGGAUGAUCAGCCACACUGGGACUGAGACACGGCCCAGACUCCUACGGGAGGCAGCAGUGGGGAAUAUUGGACAAUGGGGGAAACCCUGAUCCAGCGAUGCCGCGUGUGUGAAGAAGGCCUACGGGUUGUAAAGCACUUUCGGUGGGGAGGAGAACUAUCAUGUUAAGAGCUAGAUAGUUGGACGUUACCCACAAAAGAAGCACCGGCUAACUCCGUGCCAGCCGCCGCGGUAAAAC
rnacentral:rRNA from 1 species